rnacentral:lncRNA from 1 species
AAAAGAACGCAAUCGUAUUUCAAAUGAAUAAUCACACUGAAAAGGGGGAAGAGAAAUCCAAAUAGUUUAUACAUAUGCAUCAGACCAUAUUCCAUUAGACUUAGGUAGGGUGUGAGUCGGGGAGGACUUAAAUACUAAACCCUUUUUACUGGCUUUGUUUUUGUAGCAGCAUGGACGCAGAAGAAUUCUGAAAUGAUUUUAGAUAUUUCACAGUAUUGAGCAAAUCAGUAAAUACAUCGAUGUUGUUGUGAGCCAGGGUUCUCACUGUGGAGAAAAAAAGUUGUAAAUAUAGAAAGAGAGAAGACAUGGAUGUAAGAAGAAUGGAUUGCAAUUGGAGGUAUUGCUGUGGACUCAUAACUUCUGAAAUGUGUGCAGGCUGCCAUGCUGUGAAGAGCCCUAUGGGGAGGACCAUUUGGUGAAGAUCUGAGAGAAACUCCCGGUCAACAGCCAGUGAAGCACUGAAUCCUGCCAACAACCAUGUGAGAGCCAGAAAGUGGAUCCUCCCCACAUUGAGCCUUCAGAUGAGACCACAGCCCUAGCCUACAUAUUAAUUAUAGCCUGGUCACAGCACCCAGCUAGGCCAUACCCAGACACUUAACCUACAGAAACUGAGAUCACAAGUGUUUGCUAUUUUCAACUGCUACAUUUUGGAGUAAUUUGUUAUCCAUCUAUAGAUAACUAACACACUGUGUUCAUUGACAAAAUUGGAAGCUGAAUAAAGUAUUAUAUCAAUGUUAAAUUUAUUGAAGUUGGUAAUGUUACUCUGGAUAUGUAACAUUAUAAGAUAAUAUUCUUAUUCUUUGGCAAUAUAUACUGUAUAUUGAUAAAUUAGGUAUAAGGACAUGAUAUUUAAAACUUUCAAAUAUAUAUUAUUUUCUCAAAUGUUAUAUAUUGAGAUAGAUACUUGAGAUAUAUGUAAAUAUAAAUACAUUUAUAUAUAUACAUAGAGAGAAGAGAGAAAGGGGAUGGGAAGAAGGGAGGAGGGGUAAGAGGAAGAGAGACAGCACAAGCACAAAUGAUAAAGCAAGUACAGCAAGCUGUUAAUGAAUAUAUAUAUGAGUGUUCUCUGUACUAUUCUUACAUCUUUCCAUAUAUUUGAAAUUAUUUCUAAAUAGGAUUUUUUUAAAAAACAGGAUAUCACUUUGACAUAUCUUUAACAAGGCAUUUACAAAUAAUAAUUCCAUGCCUUAAAGUUAUCAAUGUAAAAUAACAUGUAACACCCCAUUUUCACCCUUGCUUGAGGUGUAUCUUAUACAAUUUGUUUUUAAUCCUUACACAACAUAAGAGAAACAAAGCUCCAGACAGAAUCUUGUUUCUAUGAAUCUCCUGUGUCUUGCCCAUUUCUUUUCUUCAUCUCUCAGGUGUCUGUUUUGUAAUUGUACUCUUAGGAGCUAGCAUUCUUAGCAACUUUGAGUUAUUCAUUCUAGGCUUUUCUUUUAAUAACAGCUUCAUUAUGAUACAAUUAAAUACCAUAAAAUUU